ACGGUAGAGGUUCUAGCUACCCUCUCAAAAAAACUAAGGAAAA
rnacentral:ncRNA from 17 species